rnacentral:rRNA from 1 species
GAUGAACGCUGGCGGCGUGCCUAAUACAUGCAAGUAGAACGCUGAAGGAGGAGCUUGCUCUUCUGGAUGAGUUGCGAACGGGUGAGUAACGCGUUGGUAACCUGCCUGGUAGCGGGGGAUAACUAUUGGAAACGAUAGCUAAUACCGCAUGACAACAGUUAUUGCAUGAUAACUGUUUAAAAGGGGCAACUGCUCCACUACCAGAUGGACCUGCGUUGUAUUAGCUAGUUGGUGAGGUAACGGCUCACCAAGGCGACGAUACAUAGCCGACCUGAGAGGGUGAUCGGCCACACUGGGACUGAGACACGGCCCAGACUCCUACGGGAGGCAGCAGUAGGGAAUCUUCGGCGAUGGACGGAAGUCUGACCGAGCAACGCCGCGUGAGUGAAGAAGGUUUUCGGAUCGUAAAGCUCUGUUGUAAGAGAAGAACGAGUGUGAGAGUGGAAAGUUCACACUGUGACGGUAUCUUACCAGAAAGGGACGGCUAACUACGUG